GGAGGUAGUGACAAUAAAUCACAAUGCGGAACAUUUGUUUUGCAAUUGGAUUGAGAACAACGCACAACACUUAUCGAUAAACAAUUGGAGGGCAAGUCUGGUGCCAGCAGCCGCGGUAAUUCCAGCUCCAAUAGCGUAUAUUAACGUUGUUGCAGUUAAAAAGCUCGUAGUUGAAGUGAAGUAUGAAACCUUAACGUUUUCAUUUGAAUUCGUUUUGGUUUGAUACUCUUUCCAAUUUGUGUGCAUGGGUAUUCAUUUAUCUGUGUAGGCAUUUGGUCAUUUACUGUGAGAAAAUUAGAGUGUUCAAAGCAUACGUUUGUUUGAAUACAUUAGCAUGGAAUAAUUCGAAAAGGCUUUCAUGUUCGAUUUGAUUGGUUUGUUCGUGAAGGCAAGAUUAAAAGGGACAGUUGGGGGUAUUCAUACUCAAUAGUCAGAGGUGAAAUUCUCGGAUUUAUGGAAGAUGAACAAGUGCGAAAGCA
rnacentral:rRNA from 1 species